AUUUGUCCGAACACUUCCAUUUCAGAAAUUGUGAUGUGCCUACUUCAUGAGUAAUACUUGUAGUUGGAAAAUGCAGUUGUAGAUGGAGGCUUGUUAAAAAAAGUAACACAAACCGGCUAAUAACCGGCAUAUUGAGGAGUAAACCAAGGAAACCGUGAAAGGACUACGUACUUCUUCUUCCUCCGGCGAAAACCCUCAAAUUGGGAGAUUUAAUUUAAUUAAAUCAUCGAAGAAGAUGGGGAGAGCAUUGUACAGCGUAGGAUUCUGGAUCCGGGAAACAGGUCAAGCACUUGAUCGGCUCGGCUGUCGCCUCCAAGGCAAAAAUCACUUCCGAGAACAGCUUAAGUAGCACAUAAACUGCAAAACCCAGAGCAGAUGCAGCAGCAACCGUAAAUACAGCUACUUGUACGGAGAAUGAUGAGGCGAAAGGCUGGAGAACAAGUGAGUUCCAGGUUAUGUGCCACAAGGUGGAGUAAACAGAGCCCACGAUUGCACCCACCACCACUUGACUGGCGGUGUGAAGCUUCUGGGAAACCCUCAACCAUACAAAGUAAGAAGCCAAAGCAAGGAUGAGAGAAAGAGAGAUGGGAAAGGGUGAGAGAGAGAGAGUGUUACCAGAGAAGAGAGAGAUGAAAGAAAUGGACU